rnacentral:misc_RNA from 1 species
GAUGAAGAACGCAGCGAAAUGCGAUACGUAGUGUGAAUUGCAGAAUUCAGUGAAUCAUCGAAUCUUUGAACGCACAUUGCGCCCUUUGGUAUUCCUUAGGGCAUGCCUGUUCGAGCGUCAUUUAAACCUUCAAGCUAAGCUUGGUGUUGGGUGACUGUCCGCUUCACGGCGGACUCGCCUCAAAAUUAUUGGCGGCCGGUACAUUGGCUUCGAGCGCAGCAGAAACGCGAACUCGGGCCCGUCGUAUUGGCUCCCAGAAGCUAUCUUCACAAUUUUGACCUCGGAUCAGGUAGGGAUACCCGCUGAACUUAAGCAUAUCAAUAAGCGGAGGA